CCUCCGGAUUAAGCGGUAGGGGAAAGUGGAGAGUUUUAGUUUCUUUGUGCAUUUGGUUAACAGGGCAUUCAGGUGCUGAGUCCAUCCAAACCAAAGGGACGUACGUUAGUUACAUUGGUGGCAACUGGCAAGUGAAGGGAAAAAAGUCAUAAAAAGAUUGGUCAAUUUCGACAUUGGAUGUAUUAAAAAAUAGGAAGAAAGCA
rnacentral:lncRNA from 1 species